CAUAGGUUUGGUCCCAGCCUUCCUAUUGAUUCUUAAUAAACUUACACAUGCAAGCAUCCACACCCCGGUGAAAAUGCCCUCCGAGUCUAACAGAACCAAGAGGAGCAGGUAUCAAGCACACACCUUGUAGCUCACAACACCUUGCUUAACCACACCCCCACGGGAAACAGCAGUGAUAGAAAUUAAGCCAUAAACGAAAGUUCGACUAAGUUAUAUUAACUAGGGUUGGUAAAUCUCGUGCCAGCCACCGCGGUCAUACGAUUAACCCAAAUUAAUAGGAACACGGCGUAAAGCGUGUUAAAGCCUUCAAUCAAAUAGAGUUAAAUUUUAAUUAAACCGUAAAAAGUCAUAAUUAUAAUAAAAAUAAAUGACGAAAGUAACUCUACAACCGCUGACACACUAUAGCUAAGACCCAAACUGGGAUUAGAUACCCCACUAUGCUUAGCCCUAAACACAAAUAAUUAUAUAACAAAAUUAUUCGCCAGAGUACUACCAGCGACAGCUUAAAACUCAAAGGACUUGGCGGUGCUUCACACCCUUCUAGAGGAGCCUGUUCUAUAAUCGAUAAACCCCGAUAAACCUCACCAAUCCUUGCUAAUACAGUCUAUAUACCGCCAUCUUCAGCAAACCCUAAAAAGGAACAAAAGUAAGCACAAUCAUAAUACACAAAAACGUUAGGUCAAGGUGUAACCUAUGGAAUGGAAAGAAAUGGGCUACAUUUUCUAUCUCAAGAAAAUCCCAUACGAAAGUUAUUAUGAAACUAAUAACCAAAGGAGGAUUUAGUAGUAAACUAAGAAUAGAGUGCUUAGUUGAAUUAGGCCAUGAAGCACGCACACACCGCCCGUCACCCUCCUCAAAUAAAUAUAAUGUACUAAAAUAUAUUUACACACAUUAACCACAUGAGAGGAGACAAGUCGUAACAAGGUAAGCAUACUGGAAAGUGUGCUUGGAUAAAU
rnacentral:ncRNA from 1 species